CCGGCAUAUCGAGAUCUGGGCAGGAAGAGAGAGAAGCAAUAAGCGGCACUCCCAGGGAGAAGUAAACACACACGCAGCGAUUUGAACUGCACCCAAGCGAGAUAAAAGCAGGAGAAGGAAUUCAGGUCUGCUUCAAUCCGACCCAGGCACCGCCAGAGGGAUUUGGUGCCGGAGCCAGCGCGGAUCCAGCAGCUCCUCCACCCUCUGCCCCACCAGCACCCCGCUGCUCUCCGUGCUGGCUCCAGGACGGCUCCGUCCCUCUUACCGGGGCAGCCCUUUCCUACAGACAGGGUUUGUGUGCGUGCAGGCUGCUGUCUGCUAUGCUGGGCACAGGCGGGGGCUCGCUGGGGCGGGCGGGUGCCAGCCCCGAAGGAUUUUGGCCAGCAGCGAGAUAGCGUCCCCGGGAAGACGCAUCAGAGACUGCACACAUUCAAGUCCCACGUCAACGACAUGCAGAUUCCCCCUCGAAUUCAGAUGCUUUCAGCCAAAACCCUCCGCUGCGCAUUUUGGAAGUUGAUAUAUUCAUCUUCACGUUCUGGGGCUGCGAGGGAGAGGGAAGGCAGCUGAGCAGCCUGCAGCUUGUCUCUUCUCAUGAGUGUCAAAGGCAAUAAAAAGGGAGCUGGGCCAAAAAACGAAAAACGGAGCUGAACAGCCCCUGGGCGCUUCAGGAGCCAUCACCCGGACAUCUGCAGAGCCAGAGCUGCUCAACACCCAGCAGAGCUCACUGCUGGCCAAAUCGCUGCCUUCGCUUUGCUGCCUAAGAUUUUACUGCUGGGGCCCCCAGCUGCCACCUUUUAAAUUUGUGUGGUGAAUACCCAGAGGAAAAAAAAAUAAAAAAUUUGAAAGAUACCAGGCCGUCCAGCUUUCUGCCUUGCUGCCUGUUUAAUGGCAGGCCGCGCGCACAGCAUCACCCCUACUCUCACUACACAGAGAACACAUUUAAGUGAAAAAAAGAAAUUGAUGUUUUCGUGCCAGGUGGAAGCAGUAGCAGAGGGGGAUCUCGGCCUUCAGGGGAGGUGUGUGGAGCUACUGGUGCCGUGGUAGGUGCCAACUGGGACCGACCCCCUUGUUCUAAACACCUCCACCACCACACAGACCCUCUGCUUCCAACAGCACUUGGUAAGUCAGUGCAGUGUGGGCAGCGUUUUAAGCAGUGUCAGUUCCCUCAGUUGCCCGAUUUUGGGCUCCCUGUUUGAUAAACACGCAGCCAGAGCCGCGUUGCCCCUGUGGGGAUGGAUGGCGGUGCUUUACAACCUCUGAGGGGGGACGAGGGUUGUGUCUCCCCGCAGAUGCACCACGCAGGGGGUUUAUGACGGAUUUUGUGAAGGGAUUUAGGAAGAAACGACUGAAGGGCUGCGCAAAGGAACUGUGCUGAUGCUGUGCUGCCCUCGCGUGGGUCUUUCAGGAACAUCCCAAUCCCCCUAAACGAGCGCUGUUCAGCACCUCCUCCACAAAACCCAAUGAGGCGAUCACGGCCAUUUUUUAACCCUUCCCGGAAUAAGAACUCCGCCUGGGGAGGCGGCUUGGCUUUAAAGGCAGCGGGGGACCCCUGAGGG